rnacentral:rRNA from 1 species
GUGGGGAAUCUUAGACAAUGGGCGCAAGCCUGAUCUAGCCAUGCCGCGUGAGCGAUGAAGGCCUUAGGGUUGUAAAGCUCUUUCAGGGGGGAAGAUAAUGACGGUACCCCCAGAAGAAGCCCCGGCUAACUCCGUGCCAGCAGCCGCGGUAAUACGGAGGGGGCUAGCGUUGUUCGGAAUUACUGUGCGUAAAGCGCACGUAGGCGGACCAGAAAGUCAGGGGUGAAAUCCCGGGGCUCAACCCCGGAACUGCCUUUGAAACUCCUGGUCUUGAGGUCGAGAGAGGUGAGUGGAAUUCCGAGUGUAGAGGUGAAAUUCGUAGAUAUUCGGAGGAACACCAGUGGCGAAGGCGGCUCACUGGCUCGAUACUGACGCUGAGGUGCGAAAGCGUGGGGAGCAAACAGGAUUAGAAACCCUAGUAGUCC